CUGAACAAUCUUCUGUAUGGGAAAGAUCCAAGCGGAUUUAAAUUUUGCAUCCUUAUUAUCGAUGGCUCGUAUC